CUUCCUCGUCUCCAUGCCACAGUCCUUCUCCACUGGUUCAGGCCUCCCAGGCAACGCGCUCCUCGCCGCCCGACCCAUAUGGAUCACCACUGCCCUCUCCGACGCCCCCUGUGUCCCCAUCGGCACCGGGGUGCUCGAGCUCGGCUCCACCAAAUUUAUCUUCCAGACCACAGAAAGCAUUCCCAGGAUCCUGUCGUUUUUUAAUCAGUAUGCGACUGAGAUCGUUGAUUAGCAUGUGGCUAAGGCCGUCGAUCAGGACAGGUGCUAACCUCGUUGUGUGGCUUGUAUGUUGCAUUUCUAGAUCCUAUAACUGUUCAUUGCAAUAACUAGCAAAGACUGCAAGGAAGUUUUCAGAGCAACAUAUUGGACUGAAUAUGGUCGCUGCUACAUAAAGAAGGUGAAAGAUUGAAUAUCAAUAACAAUUGCUGGAUCUUGGAAAAGUCAUUAUGGAGGUCUUUACGAAGUUUGGAUGGAAGUUACAAAAUAGAAUUGAAUCUUAGUCUUGGUUCUUUUUCUUUUCUUUGAACCUCUUGUGUUUUGUCUUUGUUUAUCCUCUCUUUUGAGAUAGCUGAGCUUAAGUGCUCCUGGAUGUAAUGAAUCUGCUGUGUAUAUCUUUUCGGGGUGUAGAGUCUGAAACUUCGCUCCGUUAUUUUUUUUUAAAAAAAACCUCAGUUCAUCAAUUAAACCACGGUCUGAUAUCUCAUAAAUUAAAUGUUUAGUUC